AUACGGAGGAUCCGAGCGUUAUCCGGAUUUAUUGGGUUUAAAGGGAGCGUAGGUGGGAUAUUAAGUCAGCUGUGAAAGUUUGGGGCUCAACCUUAAAAUUGCAGUUGAUACUGGUUUCCUUGAGUACGGUACAGGUGGGCGGAAUUCGUGGUGUAGCGGUGAAAUGCUUAGAUAUCACGAAGAACUCCGAUCGCGAAGGCAGCUCACCGGGCCGGAACUGACACUGAUGCUCGAAAGUGCGGGUAUCAAACAGGAUUAGAUACCCUGGUAGUCCGCACAGUAAACGAUGAAUACUCGCUGUUUGCGAUACACGGUAAGCGGCCAAGCGAAAGCGUUAAGUAUUCCACCUGGGGAGUACGCCGGCAACGGUGAAACUUAAAGGAAUUGACGGGG
rnacentral:rRNA from 1 species